UGUCAACGUCAGCCUUAGGCAAGUUGACGUCUACUUCAGGGCCCUCUGCUUUGAAGCCAGGCAUGCUGAACUUGGGCAUUUUCAUCUUGGGCAUCUUCAGGUGCCAGUCUGGGCCAUGAACAUCCACAUCUGGGGCAUCAAUGUCCAUUUUGGGUCCUUUGAUGUCAACAUCUGGCACUUUCAUUUCACCUUCUACCUUGGGCACAGACACAUCCAUAUCUGGGGCAUCAAUGUCCAUUUUGGGUCCUUUGAUUUCAACAUCUGGCACUUUCAUUUCACCUUCUACCU
rnacentral:lncRNA from 1 species